rnacentral:tRNA from 1 species
AAUUUAUUAGUUUAAAAAAAAAAUUUUGGUUUGUGGAAUCAAAGAUAAUAUUAUUAAUUUAUAAAUUU